rnacentral:rRNA from 1 species
AUUGAACGCUGGCGGCAGGCCUAACACAUGCAAGUCGAGCGAGCGGCGGACGGGUGAGUAAUGCCUAGGAAUCUGCCUGGUAGUGGGGGAUAACGUCCGGAAACGGUAGCUAAUACCGCAUACCAUCGGAUGUGCCCAGAUGGGCAUAGAUAGUAGGUGGGGUAAUGGCCCACCUAGGCGAGGAUCCCUAGCUGGUCUGAGAGGCUGACCAGCCACACUGGAACUGAGACACGGUCCAGACUCCUACGGGAGUCAGCAGUGGGGAAUAUGGCACAAUGGGCGCAAGCCUGAUGCAGCCAUGCCGCGUGUAUGAAGAAGGCCUUCGGUUUGUAAAGUACUUUCAGCGGGGAGGCGUUACCCGCAGAAGAAGCACCGGCUAACUCAGUGCCAGCCGCCGCGGUAAUUC